AUGAGCAAAACGCCACAAGUCAGCGAAUUUGUCCUGAGCAAUAUUCACCCGCUCGUUCAGUCAUUCCUGGAAAGAACAACCGUAGAACAGUGGGAGUCCUUUGUUCUUGGUCGUCCUGACGAUGCCACAACAAUUCUAGUGGCAGAGUUGAUUCUAGAAAUCAUUGCAAAUCUGUCCAACUCUGUUGUAACAACUUUGAAGUCUCACACACGCACGUCUGAGGAGCGUGUCCUGACUAAGCUGGAAGAGACUCUUCCUCAGGUAUUGUCAGAAGCUUUGGGAAUUCAAGAUGAAGUAGACAGUGAUGGAUUACAGACGUUGACGGACACAAUUCAAAAGGAGGUCAGAGCAAACUUGAACUCGUCACGUGCCAGCAGUGAAAAAGGUACCCCCAACCAGCGAAUCACCCCGACCUCCAGAAUCAAUGUCAUGAUUGUCCAAUUAGUGGAGCUUUUCAAAAAGUUUUCAGACAAGAUCAGGACUUUUAUCGGCCCUCGUCCACAUAAAACGACUGUUGACCGUAUCCCAAGUUCACGAGAGGGCUUCCUUCUCAAGGACAAUAUAUCACCCAUGGCAGAGGGGAUCAGGAAUGAAAUGGACUAUGAGUUUCAGGACGUCUUUAGACCUCUGAUGGUAGAUCUUCCUGGAGAUGAAUGUAAGGAGUUACAACAUGAAAUUUCGGAUGAAAUUGGGAUCGUGGCCGAAGAAUUAAGCAUCUUUUCUGACAAGAGCCCAGAAACAUUAGCUGUGAAACCUGCUGGGAAAAAAAUCAAAGCGUUUUUUGCCAAGUGUUUUGCCAAAGUUUGCCUCAUGCGGAUAUUUGCAAAGUUGAAGAGAAAACAUCCCGUUCUGCAGGCUGAAGCCAAGAGUGAGUCAGUAGAGACCAUACUGGAGAAACUUUCAACCCAGUUUCUGGAUCAGGAAGAUGACAAGGCUGAACGUGAGGAUGCCUUAGUCCAGGUGUUCACAGACUUGUCUGGGAAUAAGGUCUUGGAUUUCAACCAAGAACUGAGUAAUGAAAUUUACCGCCACUCGGUACCAGAAGCUGCUCUUCCCUCAGUUGAGAGGGAAGUUCAGAGUGAAGUCCAGGCAGACAUUAGGAGCAAAUCAUGGGUCUUUGUGGCUUUAAUGAACUGGUAUGUGAAGACUCGGGUAAACUGGGUCAUUGACAGGGUGAUGGUGCCUUUUGGGGGCAAAUCUGAGGUUAAUUUGGUCCCAGAACAAGUCACAUAUGAUGAAGGACAGCGAGCUAAAAAUAAAUCGUAUGUGAUGUAUAUCAUUGAGAAGGUAGUUAACGCGGUACGCCUGGACGCAAGGAUGCUGCCACUGACGCUACAUGAGUUCGUCAACAACCUGUCAGAAAUCGUGUGGGAAAAAGUCAAAGAUGAGCAGUUUUACACAGACUCUGACGUCUUUAACAAUCUGGAGAAGAACAUUAAGAAGCUGCUGUACAAAGUGUUGGGCUGCCCCGAAAAGGUGAUGUUUUUAAUCAUGUGUGGAGAUCCAGUGGUUGUUGAACAAAUCAUGUUGAUCAUCAACAAACACUUGUUAACGCCAAGGAAGAGAAAAUGUGUGAUUGUCAGGUUCUUCCACUCACUGGGCAGGGCCCUGACAUUUUCAAGGUCCUCUUGA
ensembl:lncRNA